rnacentral:rRNA from 1 species
GAUGAACGCUGACAGAAUGCUUAACACAUGCAAGUCUACUUGAACUUCGGUUUGGGUGGCGGACGGGUGAGUAACGCGUAAAGAACUUGCCUCACAGUUAGGGACAACAUUUGGAAACGAAUGCUAAUACCUGAUAUUAUGAUUUUAGGGCAUCCUAAGAUUAUGAAAGUUAUAUGCGCUGUGAGAGAGCUUUGCGUCCCAUUAGCUAGUUGGAGAGGUAACGGCUCACCAAGGCGAUGAUGGGUAGCCGGCCUGAGAGGGUGAACGGCCACAAGGGGACUGAGACACGGCCCUUACUCCUACGGGAGGCAGCAGUGGGGAAUAUUGGACAAUGGACCAAAAGUCUGAUCCAGCAAUUCUGUGUGCACGAUGACGUUUUUCGGAAUGUAAAGUGCUUUCAGUUGGGAAGAAAAAAAUGACGGUACCAACAGAAGAAGUGACGGCUAAAUACGUGCCAGCAGCCGCGGUAAUACGUAUGUCACAAGCGUUAUCCGGAUUUAUUGGGCGUAAAGCGCGUCUAGGUGGUUAUGUAAGUCUGAUGUGAAAAUGCAGGGCUCAACUCUGUAUUGCGUUGGAAACUGCAUGACUAGAGUACUGGAGAGGUAAGCGGAACUACAAGUGUAGAGGUGAAAUUCGUAGAUAUUUUGUAUGAAUGCCGAUGGGGAAGCCAGCUUACUGGACAGAUACUGACGCUAAGCGCGAAAGCGUGUGUAGCAAACAUG